AUUGAACGCUGGCGGCAGGCCUAACACAUGCAAGUCGAACGGUAACAGGAAGACGCUUGCUUCUUUGCUGACGAGUGGCGGACGGGUGAGUAAUGUCUGGGAAACUGCCUGAUGGAGGGGGAUAACUACUGGAAACGGUAGCUAAUACCGCAUAACGUCUCAAGACCAAAGAGGGGGACCUUCGGGCCUCUUGCCAUCGUAUGUGCCCAGAUGGGAUUAGCUAGUAGGUGGGGUAACGGCUCACCUAGGCGACGAUCCCUAGCUGGUCUGAGAGGAUGACCAGCCACACUGGAACUGAGACACGGUCCAGACUCCUACGGGAGGCAGCAGUGGGGAAUAUUGCACAAUGGGCGCAAGCCUGAUGCAGCCAUGCCGCGUGUAUGAAGACGGCCUUCGGGUUGUAAAGUACUUUCAGCGGGGAGGAAGGGAGUAAAGUUAAUACCUUUGCUCAUUGACGUUACCCGCAGAAGAAGCACCGGCUAACCACGUG
rnacentral:rRNA from 1 species